rnacentral:rRNA from 1 species
AACGAACGCUGGCGGCGUGCUUAACACAUGCAAGUCGAACGCGAAAGGGACUUCGGUCCUGAGUAAAGUGGCGCACGGGUGAGUAACGCGUAGAUAACCUGUCUCAUGUCUGGAAUAAUACGCCGAAAGGGGUACUAAUACCGGAUAUUCUUGCUUUUCAUAAGUUAUGCAAGCAAAGGUGGCCUCUGCAUAUGCUACUGCAUGAAGAGGGGUCUGCGUACCAUUAGCUAGUAGGUGGGGUAAUGGCCUACCUAGGCGACGAUGGUUAGCGGGUCUGAGAGGAUGAUCCGCCACACUGGCACUGGAACACGGGCCAGACUCCUACGGGAGGCAGCAGUGAGGAAUAUUGCGCAAGUGGGGGAAACCCUGACGCAGCGACGCCGCGUGAGUGAGGAAGGCCUUCGGGUCGUAAAGCUCUGUCAAGAGGAAAGAAGUGUACAAUGGCUAAUACCUGUUGUAUUUGACGGUACCUCUAAAGGAAGCACCGGCUAACUCCGUGCCAGCCGCCGC